rnacentral:rRNA from 1 species
UACGUAGGGUGCAAGCGUUAAUCGGAAUUACUGGGCGUAAAGCGUGCGCAGGCGGUUUUGUAAGUCUGUCGUGAAAUCCCCGGGCUCAACCUGGGAAUGGCAGUGGAUACUGGCAAGCUAGAGUGCGGUAGAGGGUAGUGGAAUUCCCGGUGUAGCGGUGAAAUGCGUAGAGAUCGGGAGGAACACCAGUGGCGAAGGCGGCUACCUGGACCAGCACUGACACUGAGGCACGAAAGCGUGGGGAGCAAACAGG